rnacentral:lncRNA from 1 species
UACAGGAACCUCCUAUUUCUUCUGGCUCAUCAGCUUCUUGCUGCAAAAACUCCAUCAUUUGUUUUGACUUUGAGAGGUAAAAAACACACCGGCUUUUAACAAAAUUAGUUUUUAUUUUUGAAAUUUUCAUACAAAUUAUAUUUCUUGCAUCAUUUUUCUAAAUGUUAUUAUGCAAAGUUUUUGAUGUGCUUAUUGUCCAGCUAUUUCUUCCAAGUGUUUAUAAAUCUGAAGUGUAGAGUCAAGGUCUAAAUGCUAUAACUUUAUCUUCUUUUUCUGUUCUUUUAUUGUGGUAGGAUUUGUGUGAUUUGUGAAAUAAUGAAGUUCCAUCCAACUAACACUAAGAGGGGGUGAAUACGUAUCAUAUGCGAAAUUUAAAUUUAUCAAGUAAUCAAUUGCAACAAGUCACAAUUAAAUAUAUCCAGAUAAUUUAAAUCAUGCAAAUCUAAACUUAGAUAUCAAUUAUGCAGUUUAAAUAUUGCGAAAAGUAAAUAACAUCAAUGAGUUACCGUAUGGUCCAAAUACAACUAAACAUUUGUAGAUUUUGACCCCCAAUCUAUUAACGCAACGAAAGAAAGAAAUUCAAGCGAAAACCUUAUGAACAAGAAAUUUGUAAUCUACCAAAUAAUAAAGAAAAUAAACUCACGAAUUUAUUAAUGAAAGAUAAAAAAAGAACUAAGCCCUUAUUUAUAAGGGUUUAUAUAGAAACUUAGUUUAGAACAACUAAAAGUAAUGAAAAAGAAGUUUAGUCAAACUAGAAUUGUAAAAAAAUGAAAAUAAACGAA